UAAGCAUUAUACCGUGAAACUGCGAAUGGCUCAUUAAAUCAGUUAUCGUUUAUUUGAUAGUACCUUACUACUUGGAUAACCGUGGUAAUUCUAGAGCUAAUACAUGCUAAAAACCCCGACUUCGGGAGGGGUGUAUUUAUUAGAUAAAAAACCAAUGCCCUUCGGGGCUCCUUGGUGAAUCAUAAUAACUUAACGGAUCGCAUGGCCUUGCGCCGGCGACGGUUCAUUCAAAUUUCUGCCCUAUCAACUUUCGAUUGUAGGGUAUUGGCCUACAAUGGUAUCAACGGGUAACGGGGAAUUAGGGUUCGAUUCCGGAGAGGGAGCCUGAGAAACGGCUACCACAUCCAAGGAAGGCAGCAGGCGCGCAAAUUACCCAAUCCCGACACGGGGAGGUAGUGACAAUAAAUACUGAUACAGGGCUCUUUUGGGUCUUGUAAUUGGAAUGAGUACAAUUUAAAUCCCUUAACGAGGAACAAUUGGAGGGCAAGUCUGGUGCCAGCAGCCGCGGUAAUUCCAGCUCCAAUAGCGUAUAUUAAAGUUGUUGCAGUUAAAAAGCUCGUAGUUGAACCUUGGGCCUGGCUGGCCGGUCCGCCUCACCGCGUGCACUGGUCCGGCCGGGCCUUUCCUUCUGGAGAACCGCAUGCCCUUCACUGGGUGUGCCGGGGAACCAGGACUUUUACUGUGAAAAAAUUAGAGUGUUCAAAGCAGGCCUUUGCUCGAAUACAUUAGCAUGGAAUAAUAGAAUAGGACGUGCGGUUCUAUUUUGUUGGUUUCUAGGACCGCCGUAAUGAUUAAUAGGGAUAGUCGGGGGCAUCAGUAUUCAAUUGUCAGAGGUGAAAUUCUUGGAUUUAUUGAAGACUAACUACUGCGAAAGCAUUUGCCAAGGAUGUUUUCAUUAAUCAGUGAACGAAAGUCAGGGAUCGAAGACGAUCAGAUACCGUCGUAGUCUUGACCGUAAACUAUGCCGACUAGGGAUCGGGCGAU
rnacentral:rRNA from 1 species